ensembl:lncRNA
AUUCGUUGCCGGGAGACUGGAUCAGGUCACCGAUGGGGGAAGCUGAUAGCCCGUCACAGAAGUGAGACCUGACAGGACACAUGUGUUGACAAGGUUCUGUCCUUGCUGGCCUUUUAACCCGCGUCAUGGAUAAUUCUCUGGAGAAUUGUGAGCUGCUGAUUGGUUGAAAUCCCAUGCCGUGCCCUCUGGCCUCCACACAGUGCUGGAGACCUUGGUGCGAACAUGGCCCUGAUCUGCUCGGAUACCCUGGGCUGCGCACAUGACGAGCCACGGUGGAGGGUGGCAUGGAAGAAAGACCCCUUCUCCGCUCCAUCUCCCCCUGUACCCAGCCUCUCAGCGGAGGGACAUGAGCUGUGCACUGGGAGCAACAGAGCUGCGUCAGGGCUGGAGGUGGGCGGUGACAGCCAACGAGCCCAGGGUCCUUUCAGGUGAUGAAACUGCUUGGGCACUGGACCACUGUGAAGGGCGCUCACCACUGUGAAC